CACAAACAGAAAACAAAGCGAAGGUGUAUAGCAGAAUAGCGGAGAAAUUAUUAGAUUAUUUGGAAAGUAUAGUAGAAUAGUUAGUAGAGAUUGAAAUUGAUUUGAUUAGAUAGGGAUUAUUGAGUGACUGGCACAGAUUGUCAGCCGAAGCAUUGCCGUCACGUAUUUGAAUUCAAAGAUAGAAGACCGAAAAAUUUUAAAGCUGCUUCGCAACCACAAAAAGAGUUUUUAACUCGCACUGCGAUCAGCUCGGAAAAUCGGCCAUUGUUCUCGCUAACAAAUCUUUAAAAUUUUUCGAUGGCGGCCAAUGCAGAAAAUACGUCCCGACCACUAGAAGAUGCGGAAAGAGGAAACUGCGCGAAUUGUUCCUUGUCGGAUUCAUUCGACAAUUUCGUGCAAUGUGACCAAUGCGAUGCAUGGUGGCACAUGCAGUGCGC